AAGAAACAACCAUCCAUAUCUUUGCAUAUUACUAUCAUUUCCAUUCUUAAACAUAUACAAAACAAACAUGGCUACAACAUCUGCUGCAGUGCUGAAUGGUUUGAGCUCCUCUUUCUUGACUGGUGGCAAGAAAACUCAAGCCUUGUUAGGUGCUCAUGUUACUGCCAGAGUUACCACUCCCAAGAGGUUUGUUGUGGCAGCUGCUGCUGUUGCUCCAAAGAAAUCUUGGAUUCCUGCUGUAAAAUCUGGUGGCAACUUGGUUGACCCCGAGUGGCUCGAUGGCUCGCUCCCUGGUGACUUUGGUUUUGACCCACUUGGUCUUGGCAAGGACCCUGCAUUCUUGAAAUGGUACAGAGAAGCUGAGCUCAUUCAUGGCAGAUGGGCAAUGGCUGCGGUAUUGGGCAUCUUUGUUGGUCAAGCAUGGAGUGGCAUUCCAUGGUUUGAGGCUGGUGCUGACCCUGGC
rnacentral:misc_RNA from 1 species